GUUAGGAUUGUGAUUUGGUUGUGUAAUAGGUUUAGAAUUGUGAUUUGGUUGGAUAAUUUUUUGUGUUGAAUUGAUUUAGAACUUUUUUAUAUAUUUUUUAUUAUUUUUGUAUUUAUAAAAUCGAUUUUGGAUUUUACAAAACGUUUUUUGUAUAUAAAUUCAAUUUUUGGAUUUAUAAAAGAUGAUUUCAUAUUUAUAAAAAUAUUUAUAUUUAUUAAAACUAAUUUUGUAUUUAUAAAACAUUUUUUUAUUUAUAAACACUAUUUUAUUAGUUUUUGUAUUUAUAAAAACUAUUUUGUAUUUAUAAAAAUAUGAUUUCAUAUCUAUAAUUAUUUAUAUUUAUA
rnacentral:lncRNA from 1 species